rnacentral:rRNA from 1 species
CGUAGGGUGCGAGCGUUAAUCGGAAUUACUGGGCGUAAAGCGUGCGCAGGCGGUUUUGUAAGACAGAUGUGAAAUCCCCGGGCUCAACCUGGGACCUGCAUUUGUGACUGCAAGGCUAGAGUACGGUAGAGGGGGAUGGAAUUCCGCGUGUAGCAGUGAAAUGCGUAGAUAUGCGGAGGAACACCGAUGGCGAAGGCAAUCCCCUGGACCUGUACUGACGCUCAUGCACGAAAGCGUGGGGAGCAGACAGGAUUAGAUACCCUGGUAGUCCACGCCCUAAACGAUGUCAACUGGUUGUUGGGUCUUUACUGACUCAGUAACGAAGCUAACGCGUGAAGUUGACCGCCUGGGGAGUACGGCCGCAAGGUUG